rnacentral:rRNA from 1 species
CCUACGGGCGACUGCAGUGAGGAAUAUUGGUCAAUGGGCGCGAGCCUGAACCAGCCAAGCAGCGUGAAGGAUGACUGCCCUACGGGUUGUAAACUUCUUUUAUAAAGGAAUAAAGUGAGGCACGUGUGCCCUUUUGUAUGUACUUUAUGAAUAAGGAUCGGCUAACUCCGUGCCAGCAGCCGCGGUAAUACGGAGGAUCCGAGCGUUAUCCGGAUUUAUUGGGUUUAAAGGGAGCGUAGAUGGGUUGUUAAGUCAGUUGUGAAAGUUUGCGGCUCAACCGUAAAAUUGCAAUUGAAACUGGCAGCCUUGAGUACAGGUGAGGUAGGCGGAAUGCGUGGUGUAGCGGUGAAAUGCUUAGAUAUCACGAAGAACUCCGAUUGCGAAGGCAGUUCACUGGACUGAAACUGACACUGAGGCUCGAAAGUGUGGGUAUCAAACAGGAUUAGAUACCCUAGUAGUC